AUGAGGGCAGCUGAAAAGAUCAUUGGAGUCUAUUUCCCCUCUAUCACAGACGUUUACACCACACAUUGCAUUCGGAAAGCCAUCACAAUUACUAGCGACCCCACACAACCCUCAAACCAGCUCUUCACCCUCCUGCCGACCGAUAGAAGGUACAGAAGCAUUCGGACCCUCACGGUCAGAUUACAGGACACUGGUCCCACAGUGAAGCCCUCAGUGUCUCUGCUGCCGCCCUCUUCUCUGCAGAUCUCUGGAGACUCAGCCGCACUGCUCUGCCUGCUCAGCUCUUACUCUCCACAGGGGGCGCUGGUGAGCUGGACACUGGACGGCUCAGAGGUCACCGAGGGGGUUGUGACCAGCGCAGAGAGCGAGCAGGACGGCCGCUACAGCCGCAGUAGUGUCCUGACCCUCAGCAAAGCACGCUGGGAAGCGGGAGAGCAGUACGUCUGCAGAGUAACACAUGAUGGAGCUCCUCAUGAGGCCUCGUUCCACAAGAGUCGCUGUUAGUCGCUCGCAGUGCUGAUGUUUCUCCAGUGAGCGCUGCUCUCUCCUGAAGAUGAGCGUAUCUGAGUGUCCUGUGUCAGGCAGGAUUCACAUGAGUCUAGUGCUGCAGCUGUAGUCAUUUACAACUCAAUACUGAAAGAGAGCUCUAGUGUCAAAGCACUGGCUGAUCUUUCAAUCUGCUGUGUUUGCUGCAACAUUCAAUAAAGCUUCUCAACAAAC